CGCGUAGGCGGCGACAUAAGUGUCGUGUGAAAGCCCCCGGCUCAACCGGGGAAUUGCACGGCAUACUGUGUUGCUAGAGUACGAGAGGGGAGAGGAGAACUCCUGGUGGAGCGGUGGAAUGCGUAGAUAUCAGGAGGAAUGCCGAAGGUGAAGACACCUCUCUGGCUCGUAACUGACGCUAAGGCGCGAAAGCUAGGGUAGCGAACG
rnacentral:rRNA from 1 species